AAAAAAAGGGUUUUUCGACUGAGAAUUGUUGUCAUUACCAUAAAGUACUAUACAUGCUUAAUCAAAAGAUACCAAAUUUAUCAUCUAUAAGAUUUUGCCUAGCAGCAAGCAAGUGGUAUAAAUGCUUUCAAAACUAGGUGUGGCAAAUUCGGUUGUGUUUGCAUCAUGUCAUUCAAUGUUAGUGUCAAAAAUUAGUUAAUAUUAAUCCAACUUAUUUAUGUAUUGUGCCAAAUGACUCAUCACUAACUCAACUCGUUUAUAAAUGUGUCAUGUUGGGGGUUGAUUUGUGUAUGUUUUGGAGUUCGAGUUGCCAUGACAGUUUUUUUUUUUUUACUCUAUUUAUUUAUACAACUAACAAACUAAACUACUUUAAGUUAUUCUAAUCUUCGUGAAAUGAGAUUUAAGUUUGAGUGCAAGAGGAGGUCACAUUGCUAUACCCAACUAACCUAAUCUACAUAUACUAUAAAUGCAACACCAAUUAAAUGUGUUCAGCGUGUCAAAUUUGAAGUAUUAAAUUUGAUACUAACUCAUACCCGUUUACUAUUUAUGUUUAUGUAUUUGCAUCAAACAACAACUAAAUCUAAACCCAUU
rnacentral:lncRNA from 1 species